rnacentral:rRNA from 1 species
GAUCCUGGCUCAGGAUGAACGCUGGCGGCGUGCCUAAUACAUGCAAGUCGAACGCGCAGCGAGAGGUGCUUGCACCUUUCAAGCGAGUGGCGAACGGGUGAGUAACACGUGGAUAACCUGCCUCAAGGCUGGGGAUAACAUUUGGAAACAGAUGCUAAUACCGAAUAAAACUUAGUAUCGCAUGAUAUCAAGUUAAAAGGCGCUACGGCGUCACCUAGAGAUGGAUCCGCGGUG